UUUUUGUCCUUUACCGUUUUCAAGCAUACUGGCCUGACUCCUGUCUGCCCGGCUGUGCACUUCUUUGCCUAAGGGUUUUCUCUGACUGUUGCCUACUUUGUCAGCUGUACAGCAGGUCACAAUUGCAGAGGAGUGAAUGUUUCUUCCUCUCCAGAAGUUAUUCUCCACCAGUGACUGAUGGGAGCUGAUGUGAACACUUCAGGCCCCUCACUCCUUGUGGUGAGCUAACACUGUGGUUCACUAAAUUAUAUGUAGAAUAACAAUUCCUCAACAUGAAGAAAUGCAUGCAGAAGUCGGGAACACUGGCACAGCUCAGGAGGCUGAGAGGGAGGAUUGUUUGAGUUCAGGAGUUCAAGGUCAUCCCCAGAGACAUAACAAGAUUCAUUUUCAAGGGAAAAACACCAAUUCACAGAAUUUGAAGGUUAUAAGGAAUCAUAGCUACUUGAAGAAAUGUCAGAUUUCAUGUCUGUGGCAGAAAAUAUACAGAAUGAACCAGAAGCAUCUUAUAUAGGAAAUUAAAAACAACUAUCCAAUAUUACUGUAGGAGGCAUGUGUCAGUUUAAGCAUCAAAAAGAACAGUAACUUCACUGGACUGGAAGACAUCAUGUAUAUUCAUGGAUUCAUAAAGAUAUAUAAAGCAAUGAAAAAACAGAAUUUUUUGAUCAAUUUUGAAGAAUGCCAAGGAAUUACCUCAUUAUUCUGAAUGCUGAUAAAUAAAAGCAAGUAAGCACUUAUCAUGAUUUUUCUGUAUGAACCAUAUCCCAG